rnacentral:RNase_P_RNA from 2 species
CAGGUGGGACGCUCUAUCGCGCUGGUCAUUGACCAGUGAGGAAAGUCCGGACAGGAAAGGGCACCCUGCUGCGGAAAGCGCAGAUGGGAGUAAUCUUAUGAUGCCGUAACAGAAAACAACUGCCGACCGAUACCGGAAGGCGAGGGUGAAAACGCGAGGUAAGAGCUCACGACGUCCGUCAGCGAUGCCGGACGGGUACGGUUCCAGGGCCUGCAAGACCAAAUAUACUGACAGAUGAGGGCUGCCCGCCCGAUGUCAGGGGGUAGGUUGCGCAGAUAAAUGAUAGAGACAAUAACAGAAACCGGCUUAUGGUCCCGCCUGUUUU